GUUAAGAAGAGUUAGUUUAUACAGUAAAAAGCUUGUGACACACCUUAUCAAACGCUUUAGAAAAAUAGCAGAAAAUGCUAUUGGCAAAGGAUGACUUUUCUAAUAUAUUAUGUAACAUGUGUAAACAAGAUCAGCUGUGGGAGACGUGUCGAGGAAAAAAAAAUAAUCAAGGAAGAGUUUGAGAAAAAAGAAGUGUCUAGUAAGGCAUGCAGCAAAAGAGGGAAACAGUUAUGGUGCAGAAGCACAUGAAGAAGAGAAUGGGGUGAGGUGGCAAUGCAAUGCGUUACCUGUCUUUCAGCUAGAGUGGAUGUGUUUGCAGCUGGUGGUCUGGAGGCACCAGCGGGUGGCGUACAGGACCUGGCCCAGAGAGUAGAUCUGCCAUCAGCACAUUACCAUGUCAUCCUCACGGAGCACUGCAAUGGUGCGUUGUGAUACCUAGCCUGGUACCCACUGCCAGUCCCGGCCCCAUCCUGUAACAGAGGCCAGUAAGGGUUUCAACCUGUCACCACUCGCCGGGCACCGUCCUGUGCUAUAGCGACCACUCACACACCUGCCCCUGCCCUGUUUUAUGGCUGCCAACCACUCAUCUGGCUUUGUCCUGCACAACGAGAGCCACCUGACAACCAGAACAGCCUUGUGCCAUGGCAGUUCUGCUAUAGCAACACAUCAGCGCCAACAUCUCAUCGGUUUUGCUGGGGGCCGCCGCCCUAUCUACGACAAGCCACGCGCACUGCAUAGAUCACCGUAUCAGCGUCGAGAGGAGCGAGUGCAUGCAAACCAACGAGCAUAUUGCGCCGUCAGCUUCUGAUGGCCCUGAGCUCCCAGCGACACCUUUUUGUCAGCGCAGCGUGACGUCAUCGACAGCCGCUUCUACAAAAGAACCGCUCUGCUGCUUGAACUUCAGGGGACACGGCGGACCCGGCCCUGCAACAAUGCUGACCAGGCACCUGCUCUUCGUUGUGCAGAGUUGUUGCACUUACUGGCUGCACUCUGCUAUGGAUCCUGCACAGCCCUGAUGGAUCAUGUGGCUGCAGUGACAUGUGCAAUAGAUCACUUGGUGCCUACCUUUCCUGCCGUUGUGCUCACACAGAUCCGUGCAUCCUUUACAUAUGUGGACACAGUGUCUCCGGUACCAGGUCUUCACCCUACCAUUGGCUUGCUGCCAACCCUGGGACAUUUUUUGCUUUCGCAUAAGAAGCAUCCACCCAAAGUCGCAGUUCAGUAAACUUGGUGACAC
rnacentral:lncRNA from 1 species